GUACCUUUUGCAUCAUGAUUUAGCCAGUACCUAACAAGCAAAGAGACCUUUAGUUUGAGACCCCGAAACCAAGUGAGCUACCCCGGGACAGCCUUAAAGGGCCAACCCGUCUCUGUGGCAAAAGAGUGGGAAGAGCCCCGGGUAGAGGUGAUAGACCUACCGAACUUGGUGAUAGCUGGUUGCCUAAGAAAUGAAUAGAAGUUCAGCCUCGUACCCCUUAGUCCAAUUAAGAAAAAUCUAAACAAGGAUGCAAGAAAGAUACGAAAGUUAGUUAAAGGGGGUACAGCCCCUUUAACCAAGGACACAACCUUUAGCAGGAGGAUAAGGAUCACACUUUUUAAAACCAGUCGUCUCAGUGGGCCUAAAAGCAGCCAUCUGACCAGAAAGCGUUAAAGCUCAAACGACCCCAAAUUUAUUAUUCUGAUAAAUAAUCCAACUCCCCUAAUUUUACUAGGCCAUUCCAUGCUAACAUGGAAGAGACCAUGCUAAAAUGAGUAACAAGAGACUAAAAUCUCUCCAAGCACAAGUGUAAGCCAGAUCGGACAACCCACUGGAAAUUAACGAACCCAAAAAAAGAGUGUAAAGUGAAAUACAAAAAAGCCAAGGAAACCUCACAACAUAAAAUCGUUAACCUCACACUAGAGUGCCACCAAGGAAAGACUAAAAGAGAGGGAAGGAACUCGGCAAACACAAGCCUCGCCUGUUUACCAAAAACAUCGCCUCCUGCAAAUCUCUACAUAUAGGAGGUCCAGCCUGCCCAGUGACUACAAGUUCAACGGCCGCGGUAUUUUGACCGUGCAAAGGUAGCGCAAUCACUUGUCUUUUAAAUGAA
rnacentral:rRNA from 1 species